rnacentral:tRNA from 1 species
GCGGGUAUAGGUCAGUGGUAGAGUGUGUGCUUAGCAUGUAUGAGGUCCUGGGUUCAAUCCCCAGUACCUCUG